rfam:Paenibacillus naphthalenovorans strain 32O-Y, complete genome.
UCCGCCGCGAGGCGGAAUCCGAAGGAAGCCGGGGGCAAAUGCACGGGUCAAGGUACACGAACUGGAUUUGAGGCAGGGUUAGUCGGAUGAGUUGCCCAAACAUAAUGAAAUCCAAAGCCGCCAAGGGCUAAUCCUGUAGACUCCAGUGGUCGCGGGCAGACAGAUGACGUU